UGGAAUUGUGGUUUGCUGGCAUGAUUCUCUGAUUCUGUCAAAAACGCUCACUAUGGGUUGUUUCUACUCAUCCAAAGCUAUUUCUAGCUCGUAUUCACAUUUGUACCUGCUGCACAGAACUACUCCAGCUGAGAUAGUAGCCUUUGGCUUUCGAUUCACCUCAUUUGUGACUCUUUUACCCAUGUUGGGCUGAUUUCCACUAUCAG
rnacentral:lncRNA from 1 species